GCGAGCGGCGGAUGGGUGAGUAACACGUGGGGAACCUGCCCCUAAGUCUGGGAUACCAUUUGGAAACAGGUGCUAAUACCGGAUAAUAAAGCAGAUCGCAUGAUCAGCUUUUGAAAGGCGGCGUAAGCUGUCGCUAAGGGAUGGCCCCGCGGUGCAUUAGCUAGUUGGUAAGGUAACGGCUUACCAAGGCGACGAUGCAUAGCCGAGUUGAGAGACUGAUCGGCCACAUUGGGACUGAGACACGGCCCAAACUCCUACGGGAGGCAGCAGUAGGGAAUCUUCCACAAUGGACGCAAGUCUGAUGGAGCAACGCCGCGUGAGUGAAGAAGGUUUUCGGAUCGUAAAGCUCUGUUGUUGGUGAAGAAGGAUAGAGGUAGUAACUGGCCUUUAUUUGACGGUAAUCAACCAGAAAGUCACGGCUAACUACGUGCCAGCAGCCGCGGUAAUACGUAGGUGGCAAGCGUUGUCCGGAUUUAUUGGGCGUAAAGCGAGCGCAGGCGGAAAAAUAAGUUCUAAUGUGAAAGCCCUCGGCUUAACCGAGGAACUGCAUUCGGAGACUGUUUUUCUUGAGUGCA
rnacentral:rRNA from 1 species